UACGUAGGGUGCGAGCGUUAAUCGGAAUUACUGGGCGUAAAGGGUGCGCAGGCGGCGUCGCAAGUCAGGCGUGAAAUCCCCGGGUUUAACCUGGGAACUGCACUUGAAACUACGAUGCUGGAGUAUGGCAGAGGGAGGUGGAAUUCCACGUGUAGCGGUGAAAUGCAUUGAGAUCGGAAAGAACACCAACGGCGAAAGCACUCUGCUGGGCCGACACUGACACUGAGAGACGAAAGCUAGGGGAGCAAAUGGG
rnacentral:rRNA from 1 species